GAAAUGCGAUAAGUAAUGUGAAUUGCAGAAUUCAGUGAAUCAUCGAAUCUUUGAACGCACAUUGCGCCCCCUGGUAUUCCGGGGGGCAUGCCUGUUCGAGCGUCAUUUCACCACUCAAGCCUCGCUUGGUAUUGGGCGACGCGGUCCGCCGCGCGCCUCAAAUCGACCGGCUGGGUCUUUCGUCCCCUCAGCGUUGUGGAAACUAUUCGCUAAAGGGUGCCGCGGGAGGCCACGCCGUAAAACAACCCCAUUUCUAAGGUUGACCUCGGAUCAGGUAGGGAUUCCCGCUGAACUUAAGC
rnacentral:misc_RNA from 1 species